CAGCCGCCACGGGAAUACGGAGGGAGCUAGCGUUGUUCGGAAUUACUGGGCGUAAAGCGCGCGUAGGCGGUUACUCAAGUCAGAGGUGAAAGCCCGGGGCUCAACCCCGGAACUGCCUUUGAAACUAGGUGACUAGAAUCUUGGAGAGGUCAGUGGAAUUCCGAGUGUAGAGGUGAAAUUCGUAGAUAUUCGGAAGAACACCAGUGGCGAAGGCGACUGACUGGACAAGUAUUGACGCUGAGGUGCGAAAGCGUGGGGAGCAAACAGGAUUAGAUACCCGUGUAGUCCCUGUCUCUUAUAC
rnacentral:rRNA from 1 species